GACGAACGCUUGCGGCGUGCUUAACACAUGCAAGUCGAACGGAAAGGCCCUGCUUUUGUGGGGUGCUCGAGUGGCGAACGGGUGAGUAACACGUGAGUAACCUGCCCUUGACUUUGGGAUAACUUCAGGAAACUGGGGCUAAUACCGGAUAGGAGCUCCUGCUGCAUGGUGGGGGUUGGAAAGUUUCGGCGGUUGGGGAUGGACUCGCGGCUUAUCAGCUUGUUGGUGGGGUAGUGGCUUACCAAGGCUUUGACGGGUAGCCGGCCUGAGAGGGUGACCGGCCACAUUGGGACUGAGAUACGGCCCAGACUCCUACGGGAGGCAGCAGUGGGGAAUAUUGCACAAUGGGCGGAAGCCUGAUGCAGCAACGCCGCGUGCGGGAUGACGGCCUUCGGGUUGUAAACCGCUUUCGCCUGUGACGAAGCGUGAGUGACGGUAAUGGGUAAAGAAGCACCGGCUAACUACGUGCCAGCAGCCGCGGUGAUACGUAGGGUGCGAGCGUUGUCCGGAUUUAUUGGGCGUAAAGGGCUCGUAGGUGGUUGAUCGCGUCGGAAGUGUAAUCUCGGGGCUUAACCCUGAGCGUGCUUUCGAUACGGGUUGACUUGAGGAAGGUAGGGGAGAAUGGAAUUCCUGGUGGAGCGGUGGAAUGCGCAGAUAUCAGGAGGAACACCAGUGGCGAAGGCGGUUCUCUGGGCCUUUCCUGACGCUGAGGAGCGAAAGCGUGGGGAGCGAACAGGCUUAGAUACCCUGGUAGUCCACGCUGUAAACGGUGGGUACUAGGUGUGGGGUCCAUUCCACGGGUUCCGUGCCGUAGCUAACGCUUUAAGUACCCCGCCUGGGGAGUACGGCCGCAAGGCUAAAACUCAAAGGAAUUGACGGGGCCCCGCACAAGCGGCGGAGCAUGCGGAUUAAUUCGAUGCAACGCGUAGAACCUUACCUGGGUUUGACAUGGAUCGGGAGUGCUCAGAGAUGGGUGUGCCUCUUUUGGGGUCGGUUCACAGGUGGUGCAUGGCUGUCGUCAGCUCGUGUCGUGAGAUGUUGGGUUAAGUCCCGCAACGGGCGCAACCCUUGUUCACUGUUGCCAGCACGUUAUGGUGGGGACUCAGUGGAGACCGCCGGGGUCAACUCGGAGGAAGGUGGGGAUGACGUCAAGUCAUCAUGCCCCUUAUGUCCAGGGCUUCACGCAUGCUACAAUGGCUGGUACAGAGAGUGGCGAGCCUGUGAGGGUGAGCGAAUCUCGGAAAGCCGGUCUCAGUUCGGAUUGGGGUCUGCAACUCGACCUCAUGAAGUCGGAGUCGCUAGUAAUCGCAGAUCAGCAACGCUGCGGUGAAUACGUUCCCGGG
rnacentral:rRNA from 1 species